GUCCAUGCCGUAAACGUUGGAUACUAGGUGUGGCGUCCCGAUCAACGGAUGCCGUGCCGAAGCUAACGCAUUAAGUAUCCCGCCUGGGGAGUACGGCCGCAAGGCUAAAACUCAAAGGAAUUGACGGGUCCCCCGCACAAGCGGCGGAGCAUGCGGCUUAAUUCGAUGCAACCCGAAGAACCUUACCUGGGUUUGACAUCACGGGAAAAGCUGUAGAAAUACAGUGUCCGUAAGGGCCCGUGACAGGUGGUGCAUGGCUGUCGU
rnacentral:rRNA from 1 species